AUUCUUCUGUCAUCUAAAAGUCCUCUUCGCUCUGUUUCUUCAGAGCUAUUCGAUCUUCAUGGUUCGUUCUUCCAAGAGCACGGCUUCGUCCUUCUCCAGAAAUCUUCAUCACCCUAUGGCUUGAUUCUUCUACGUUCUUUAUUAUUGAGAAUAAUAUAUGGGAAGAUCGUGCGCUAAGGGAUUAUGUCUCUGAGAUUGACGCCAUGUUUCAUGGUCGAAGUGAUCAAGACUCUUCUUUUUUUACCAAGACUUCACAGAAUGUUCUUUCUUUGCGCUUCAUACGUGCAAGGUUUUAGCUGCCUGGGGAGUCUCCAUGGAGGCAGUGGUUGAUGGGUAUUCUUCAAGUCAGUGGUGGCAGAUAAUCUGGCUGUGUAAUCUAUUGUAACCAGGACCGAAAUGGGAUAUAAUUGUGAUGAUAGAUGAGUGAAAUGUACUGGGAUAAAGAAGCCCUUAUGCAGGGGGUUUGAGUCCUGGUUUUGUCAUCCGACCUUUGCCAUGACAGGUGCGCUUGCAUGGCAGGUCACACAAAUCUUAAUAAAAUUUCUCUUUUGGUGGUUUUGAGGGGAGUUCGCACGGGAUAGUCCGGGUUCUCCCCUCUGUGUGUGGUGUGUCUGCUCUCCUUUUCAUUGCCUCUAUCUCUUUUCAUUAAAUCUGCUACGAUCGUCCUAAUUCACCCCUGUGCAUGUGCUUGGAUUCAUGAACUUGUUACAAUCUACCCCCAUGCACCAUAUCGGUUGGAUUCAUAAACCUGAUACUAUUUCCGGAUGCACUUGAGUGUUGGAUUCAUAAGCAUCUCAGCUGGAUAAGGCCUUAAACCCAUUCUACAAUCAGAUCCUGUUGCACUAACGCAUUCUGCACUUCUACUCGAAAGAUCGGGAGGUACCUGAAUAUGGUGGUUAGCAAACCUUCAAUUCUGAUGGGUUCCAGAGGCUCAAGCAACUCCCCUCAGUUGGUCCCAGGUUUGGCUCCUCACUAGAUCAACAUUACGAUCAAACCAGCACUCAGCAGCCUACAGCAAACUACAGCAGCAAUUGGUUCACCCUUGAUACUCUUAAGAACUUCACAAUUCAUGAACACAAGGAAUAUAGACGCAGAAGAAGAAAACAACAUCGCAUUGCAAUCAAAGAGCUUUAGAAAUAAUAGUCAUUACAGUAGCCAUCAGAGUAUGUAAUUGUAACUGAAAAUGGAAACAACUGAAGUAAAAGGAAAAAUAGCUAAGCUGGGUUUCGAGAGCCAGCCCUCACCAAGUGUAAUAUAAAAUAUUGAUUCAAUAAAAUGAUUUCUUUCUUCUUUA